CUCGGACCCAAAAGUUAGUUCCCGAGGGAAAGACGUUCUUCAAUUUCAUCGCUCGAGCUUCAUUUCUGACUCAGAGUAACACUACAGAGUACAAACAUCAAACACCUUCUCUGCACGCAAAAACCGCGAAAAGAACUAGAACCAAAGAUGCAGAGAUUCAAAGCUCUGCUACCUCAACAAACUAGGUCCUCACUUCGCACUCUCUGUUCUCACCGUCGAGCUUUCUCCGCUCAACCGAAUUACGCAAAGCACCACGACGACGAUUCUCAGGAACAGAUUUUAGUCGAAGGAAGAGCGAAAUCACGAGCAGCUAUUCUCAACAGGCCGUCUUCGCUGAACUCGCUCAAUGCUUCAAUGGUUGCUCGGUUGAAGAGGCUGUAUGAUUCCUGGGAAGAAAACUCUGAUAUUGGCUUUGUUUUGAUGAAGGGUAGUGGCAGAGCUUUCUGUUCUGGUGCAGAUGUUGUUAGGCUGUAUCACUCACUCAAUGAAGGAAAUACUGACGAAGCUGAACAGUUUUUCAAAACAUUAUAUUCAUUUGUAUAUCUUCAAGGGACAUAUCUUAAACCACAUGUUGCCAUUUUGGAUGGAAUAACAAUGGGAUGUGGAUCUGGAAUUUCUCUACCAGGAAUGUUCCGUGUGGUAACUGAUAAAACUGUUUUUUCUCACCCAGAAGCUCAAAUAGGUUUCCACCCAGAUGCAGGAGCUUCUUAUGUUUUGUCUCGUCUACCUGGCUACUUAGGGGAAUACUUGGCCCUUACAGGAGAUAAGCUUAAUGGUGUUGAAAUGAUUGCCUGCCGCCUUGCUACUCAUUAUUCACUAAAUGCAAGGCUCUCUUUGCUUGAAGAACGUCUUGGUAAACUAAUCACAGACGAACCUUCUGUUGUGGAGUCAUCCCUCGCACAGUAUGGUGAUCUUGUUUAUCCAGAUAGGAGCAGUGUCCUUCACAGGAUUGAUACUAUUGAUAGAUGUUUCAGUCACGAAACUGUGGAGGAAAUUAUUGAAGCUUUGGAGAAAGAGGCUGCUGAGUCUAAUGACGAAUGGUACUCGACUACUCUAAGGAGAAUAAGAGAAGCCUCCCCGUUGAGUUUGAAAGUUACUUUACAAUCUAUACGUGAAGGUAGAUUUGAAACACUUGAUAAAUGUCUUGUACGUGAGUAUCGCAUGUCCCUACGUGGUAUUUCAAAGCAUGUCUCCUCUGAUUUCUUUGAGGGUGUUCGGGCACGAAUGGUUGAUAGAGAUUUUGCACCAAAGUGGGACCCACCUAGAUUAAAAGAUAUAUCAGAGGACAUGGUUGAAUACUAUUUCUCUCCUUUAAGUGAAGUUCAAUCUGAAUUAGUGCUGCCAACAGCUUUGCGAGAACCUUACAUGUGAAACCAGCAUACCUCUUAGAAAGGAAGUCACACAACUUGUAUUUCUGGUGGGGAGAGGUGAUUGAAUUAUCAGUCUUUCAUGAAAAUGUAGAUCAUCCAAUUUUCUCACUCAUCACAAUGUCAAUUCGUUAGCCAUCCCUAGAGUACAAGGAGUCAAUAGGAGGAAGAAUUUUUAUAUAUCGCAUUUUGAUUAAAAAAAUAAAUUCCGUGUAAAGAGGCGUUGAUGCAGUUGGAAGAUGGCACAAUCCAUGAACUAUCGCAUUCACCUGCCUUUGACAAAACUUCCACCACCAACGGUUCCUGUCUGACUAUCUGUCGGAUUACCGAAUGAACUUUCCAAUGUUCGGAAUUAUCUUUGUUCUUGAAUGUGUGUAGUCUAAUGUUGGCCCCAUAAAUAUAAGUGAAAGGACCAUAUCUGCUUCUUUCAUUGUUUAUGCUUUGAUUGCUCACAUUGGCAUGAGAUGCUUUUCUAAUAGACGUGCUGCAGUGAUGCCUAUUUUUAUAUCUUAUUUUUCGUGCUUUUAUGUUGUCUGAUUAUGUUAUUUGUAGAAUACAACACAUGUUAACAUUAAAAAUCUGUUUGUAGAA